AACGAACGCUGGCGGCAGGCCUAAUACAUGCGAGCCGAGCGCGCCCUUCGGGGUGAGCGGCGGACGGGUGAGUAACGCGUGGGAAUAUGCCCUUCUCUAAGGAAUAGCCUCUGGAAACGGAGAGUAAUACCUUAUACGCCCUUUGGGGGGAAAGAUUUAUCGGAGAAGGAUUAGCCCGCGUUAGAUUAGGUAGUUGGUGGGGUAAUGGCCUACCAAGCCUACGAUCUAUAGCUGGUUUGAGAGGAUGAUCAGCCACACUGGGACUGAGACACGGCCCAGACUCCUACGGGAGGCAGCAGUAGGGAAUCUUAGACAAUGGGGGCAACCCUGAUCUAGCCAUGCCGCGUGUGUGAUGAAGGCCCUAGGGUCGUAAAGCACUUUCGCCAGAGAUGAUAAUGACAGUAUCUGGUAAAGAAACCCCGGCUAACUCCGUGCCAGCAGCCGCGGUAAUACGGAGGGGGUUAGCGUUGUUCGGAAUUACUGGGCGUAAAGCGCACGUAGGCGGAUUAGUAAGUUAGAGGUGAAAUCCCAGGGCUCAACCCUGGAACUGCCUUUAAUACUGCUAGUCUUGAGUUCGAGAGAGGUAAGUGGAAUUCCGAGUGUAGAGGUGAAAUUCGUA
rnacentral:rRNA from 1 species